UUGAUUUGAUAUCAGAGAUUCAUUCUUCGAUUGGAAAGUGCAGCUUUUAUCUUGAAACUAAACUAGUGAGUCUAGAAAAUCAUUAUUUGGAUGGAUUCGUUGUCUGUAAUUAGUGAGGAGCUAGCUGAAAUUGAUGGACAAAUUAUUGAUAUCUUCCGGGCUCUAUCAAAUGGAUUCUAGAAGUUGGAGAAGAUUAAGGACCCAAACAGGCAAACUAGGCAAUUGGAAGAACUUACAGAAAAGAUGAGGGAAUGGAAGAGGCUUCGAUAGAGAAGUGAAGGAUGGGGAAAGUAGAAAUAGUCCAGACACCAACAGGAUGCUCAAUGAGAAAAAACAGUCAAUGGUUAAGGAAUUGAAUUCCUAUGUUGCUCUAAAAAAAUAAUCUGCAAGUAAUCUGGAAAACAACAAGCAAGUUGAUCUCUUUGAUGGGCCUGAGGGGGAUGAACAGAAUGUCCUACUGGCUUCUUCUAUGACCAAUCAACAGUUAGUUGAUAGAGGAAACCAAACGAUGGAUGAGACUGACAAGGCCAUUGAGCGCUCAAAGCAGGUCAGUUACCCUCCUCAACACCCCACCUCCC